GAUGAAGAACGUAGCGAAAUGCGAUAAGUAAUGUGAAUUGCAGAAUUCAGUGAAUCAUCGAGUCUUUGAACGCACAUUGCGCCCCCUGGUAUUCCGGGGGGCAUGCCUGUCCGAGCGUCAUUGCUGCCCUCAAGCACGACUUGUGUGUUGGGCCCCGCCCCCCGGCUCCCGGGGGGCGGGCCCGAAAGGCAGCGGCGGCACCGCGUCCGGUCCUCGAGCGUAUGGGGCUUCGUCACCCGCUCCGUAGGCCCGGCCGGCGCCCGCCGGCGACCCCCCUCAAUCUUUUCAGGUUGACCUCGGAUCAGGUAGGGAUACCCGCUGAACUUAAGCAUAUCAAUAAGCGGAGGA
rnacentral:misc_RNA from 1 species